rnacentral:rRNA from 1 species
UUCCGGUUGAUCCUGCCGGAGGCCAUUGCUAUCGGAGUCCGAUUUAGCCAUGCUAGUCGAGCGAGGUUAGCCCUCGCGGCGAACAGCUCAGUAACACGUGGCCAAGCUACCCUGCAGAGGGGGACAGCGUCGGGAAACUGACGGGAAUCCCCCAUACCGGUCUCACGCUGGAAUGCCGAGACCGACAAACGCUCCGGCGCUGCAGGAUGCGGCUGCGGCCGAUUAGGUAGUCGGUGGGGUAACGGCCCACCGAGCCGAUAAUUGGUACGGGGUGUGAGAGCACGAGCCCGGAGACGGAAUCUGAGACAAGAUUCCGGGCCCUACGGGGCGCAGCAGGCGCGAAACCUUUACACUGCACGAACGUGCGAUAAGGGGACUCCGAGUGCGAGGGCAUACAGUCCUCGCUAUUGUGUACCGUAGGGUGGUACACGACCAAGAGCUGGGCAAGACCGGUGCCAGCCGCCGCGGUAAUACCGGCAGCUCGAGUGAUGGCCGAUUUUAUUGGGCCUAAAGCGUCCGUAGCUGGCCCUGCAAGUCCGUCGGGAAAUCCACUCGCCUAACGAGUGGGCGUCCGGCGGAAACUACAGGGCUUGGGACCGGAAGACUUGAGGGGUACGUCUGGGGUAGGAGUGAAAUCCUGUAAUCCUGGACGGACCGCCGAUAGCGAAAGCACCCUCAAGACGACGGAUCCGACAGUGAGGGACGAAAGCUAGGGUCUCGAACCGGAUUAGAUACCCGGGUAGUCCUAGCUGUAAACGAUGUUCGCUAGAUGUGGCACAGGCUACGUGCCUGUGCUGUGUCGUAGGGAAGCCGAGAAGCGAACCGCCUGGGUAGUACGUCCGCCAGGAUGAAAACUUAAAGAA